AGCCAGGGUAGGUGUCUAGCCUCUCACUGUACAUUAAGUGCUUAAAAAAUAUUGUUACUCCCGCUAUGGUAAUACUAUAGUAUGGUUGGUGUGUGUGUAUUUGUGUGUGUGUAUACUUACAGAGAUACUUAUAUAUACCCUCAUACAUAUACACAACAUAAUGGACUUCUCUGGUUAAGAGAUUCCAAUUUAGGGCUAAUGGAUUUUUUUUAAUCUGAGAGAGCAUAUUUGUCAUCUUUAUUUAACACAUGCUUAGAUAGUCCCAUCCCAAGCUAGAGAAAUCGGUAGGCUAAAAAUGUUAUGAUAGCUAUAUUUUGGCUUAUGCUCUUGUCACUUUUUGUCAGCUUUUGCAACCUGAAAUCUCAAAAACAGUUUUAUAACCCCAGAAAAGCACACAAUAUUCUAACUGAAGUCUCACUGUAGUGACAAUACAAUUUUAGAAUUAAGUGCAAUAUUCCAAAAAUGAUCCAAAGGAUACAUUAUCAAGCUAUGCAUAUGAAAAAACAGUGCUGCAAUCACAAUUAAAGAGAAACUAUUUUUUGCAAGUUUCAUCUUUCAGCUCUUGAAGAGAGGAUGACUGUUGUACCUUACUACUGGCUUUGAAGGGCAACAGGUAAACGGUCACGCUUCUGAUAUUCUUAACGCCUGUGCCUUUCUCGAAGGAAAAGUCCUAACCUCUUCAGUCUGUACUUCAUCAUUUUAGUUCAGAAAAAACAUACUGUGCAAAUAUAUGCCGACCACCCCCUCCUGUCAUUUUGAAAAAUCCCUUGGAUUAAAGCUAAUCUGUGAGUAGAAAGCAUCCCUGACGUUCCCUUAUGACUGAAUAUUGUAAAUCUUAGAAAAACAAUGAGAAAUGGGGACAGCCAUUCUGCCUGACUUCUCCUCGGCAUAACCGGAUCAAGUGAAAUUCCUGUCAAAUUACACGGAAAGGUGAGGAGAGGUUAUUAGCCUAUUUUUGCUAAAAGGGAAAGAAGGACUUUUUGUCACUAACACAUGAGGUCUCCUGAAGGAACACAGGAAAAUAGUGGCAGGUUAGGGAACUAGAGAGCCCCGUUAAUAACUCCCUUCUUUCCACUGACCUCCUGUUUUGUCACGGAUCCUGCAUUUCCCCACUGCUGCCUUUCUUCAGCCACCCCUCUUAACUCUUCACCUUGCAGGACUCUGUUCCGCUUCUCAUCCAGAGACUCCCUGUCCCUUGAUGAGGAACCACAGAAUGCUCUACAAGAACACUCGCUGCGCUGGGA
rnacentral:lncRNA from 1 species